rnacentral:lncRNA from 1 species
UGGAGGUAGAAAGAACUCAAUCUUUAUUGAAUACCUACUGUAAAUGUAAAAAGCAAAAUGACAAUCUUUUUGGCAUUGGGGCAUAUAAGAGCUUUCAAAAAAUGCUAGAGGAAUCAAAUUAUGGAAGUUUCGAGUUUGGUGAUUAGCCAUAUAAAGCUAGCCUCCAAGCUUUUAGCAUUAUAUAAUGAGCUUUUAUUAGUUGGAAUAGGUUCUCAAUCAGUUAAGCUUCUGCUUUGUAGUCCAAGAAGCGGUGGCUUCGGCUUUUAUGUAA